CAAGGAAUCAUCAAUCAUCAAUCAGUCAUUCAAUCCAUCGCAAGACGCCUGCCCCCGGCCUCCGCCCCCGGCUGGCUGCCACCGCCGCCUCCGAACCUGCUCCUGUGAUCCCGUCCGCGGCACGCCCCCGAUCGUGCGGCCGGGUCGGCGAGGUGAGCUCGCACUACCUCUCCGCGCCGGUACCCCGCCCAGGCCCGGCGCUCGCAGUGGCACGGCGCAGGGGCGCGCGCAGCUUGCAGCAACGGCGCGCCGCCACGGUUGCUUGCCGGCAGCGAGCGUCGGGUAGGGGAGGCGGCCAUGCGAGGCUCCCCAAGGACGGCGCGGAUCGGACGAGGGACCGUGGGUGGGACGCCAUUCCAGGCAAACAGGAUCGAGAGGAGGAUGGGGGCAUCAGCUGGCAGCGCUGCCGUCGGCCUUCGCCGCUCCAAUUCGCCAUGUUCGUCCGCUGUCGGACCAAUCCAGCACCACCACGAUGACCCCCCUCGUCAAGCCGAACGCGUUCAGGUGGACUUCGUCGCCCCUACAUCGCUGGACACCGCCGUCCACGGAGCUGCCGCCGGCCAUCUUGUCUCCGGCCAAAUUUCGACCAGCAUAGGGGCCCUCCGACGCCGGUGAGCGCCUCCCGAGACCUCCUCCACCCCCUCUCCGUUUUCCCCCUCUUGCCGAAGCUUCCCAUGUGCUGGAACGCGACGAGCAGGAAGGGGCCAGGACCAGAGAUUUAUUCCCCUCGCAUCCUCUCUCAGGUGUGACAUGUGAAGAGUGCAGCGGCAAUGCUAGACAGUAGACAGACGCCAUAUUGCUAUUCGCUGGCAUUGAGCAGGCUGGGCGUUUACGGCCCCAUCCAAUCAUCAGUCAGGAGCAGGUCAUAGCAGAGUUGGCAAGCCACAGUCAAGUAUGGUUUGCAAACCUGCUGAUUCCCCUUUGAUUACUCUCUCAAUUUUGGAUCUCUAGGAUUCUAUAAUUAUAGUAUGCAACAGGUUCUUUCUUUCUGCAUAGUCAGUGAUUGCUGUAGUGCUGAUUUGCAUACAACGUCAGGUUUGUGAGAAUAGAUGUUUACAUAUUUUUGCUAACAUAGCAAAGUAAUUGUCUUUAACACAGGGAUCAUCGUAUCUAGGGACAGAAGGGGUCUUUUCAAGUGGGUGCAUUAACAUAAAUUGGUUGUGUCUUUGCUAUAUUAUUGUGCUUGCAUCAAUAAUUAUUUAACACAUUUAUUUUUGUACACAGGUAGAUAGACAAGAAUUUACAGGGAAAAUCACUUUACGCAGGUACAUCCACAAUCUAGAACCAUUAUUUUAUAUGCUUUAGUACUCUUUAAUUUUCUUAUGCAACGCAAAUUCUCCAAUAGAUCUGCGGCACAAUCAGUAUUUUUUUAUUAUAGGAGGUUUAGCUAAUUAAACUUGCUAGAAAGACAAAAUGGAAUUUUUAUUGUUGGGGGGGUGCAUUCUGAAAUUUAUAAAUUUUUGAAGAUCUAUAUGCAUACAAUUUUUAUACGACUUGUUUGAAAUAUAUUAACUUGAGGUAUAAAUCUUUUUUUAUAAAGCUACCAAAAGAACUGAGUUUUACUUUUCUUUCUUUUGUCCACUCUACUGGCAAUAUUCAGAAUGCUGGGACAGAUAGCUUGCCUUUGAAGUGUUUCUGUCCUGUACUGGCAGUAUUCAGAUAUCUUAAGGAAAUUGGAACUUGCUACAAUAGUUUCUGAAUGUGCCCCUCCUAUGUUAUUUCCUUUGUAGGUCACCCAAUAGUAAUGGUUGGAAAGGUGCCACAUAUAUUUUCAGCAAUCACUGAACUUGUAGUUUUGUAAGAGCACUGGGAUUUGGCUAACAAUGUCAUUCUAUGCUACCAUUAAUGGAUGAUUUCAAGAUUUUUCUGGUAACAUCUGGACCGGACUGCUUCUGCCUCCAGUGGAAAUUUGAAGCAUUAACUAGCGUGUUAGUAUCGUCUGAACUUCUCACUAUUGUGAAUGACCUAAUUCUAUUGCUAAUUAGUUAAACCGAUCUGAUACUUUCAACUCUGUGCUCGAAUUUUAGCCACUAUAUAUGGGCACAAGGAUGUUGAUACUAACUUUUGUUUCAGAUAGUUUUCUCACAAAAUGUUGAUUUAAGCUACUAUAUCUGGGCAAAGGAUGGUAGUUCAGUUUGAGAGAAACAGAUGUGGGAGCAAAAGCAAAAAAGAUGCCGGUUUCAGAAACAAAUUGUGCUUCAUAUCUUGUUUUAUCUUGCAGGCUUGGCAAUUUGUGUAAUUGUGUGGCAAUAGAUGUUUACCUGCUGCUUGGACUUGGGUUAGGCUGCUGUCAGCCUGUCAUACAAAAAUUGCAACUGGGUUUGGAAUUGAAAUGUUUUCUGUAGAUUUUUUUUUGUUCUAAGCUUUGUGAAAAGCAACCAUGUUUCAAAAUUGAGCUUGAAGGUUAUUUUGUUUAUGCUAGCUGAAUCGUUGCUAUCAUGACAUGGUGAAGUAAUCUUAAAUUUGUUUUCAAAUAGAAGACAGUUUCGACUUUGAAAAUGUUGAGCUAAAUGCCAUCAAAGCAGAAAACUAUAUUAGUAUCUCUGAAAAUGUUGAACUA